GACGAACGCUGGCGGCGUGCUUAACACAUGCAAGUCGAACGAAGAGCGAUGGAAGCUUGCUUCUAUCAAUCUUAGUGGCGAACGGGUGAGUAACGCGUAAUCAACCUGCCCUUCAGAGGGGGACAACAGUUGGAAACGACUGCUAAUACCGCAUACGAUCUAAUCUCGGCAUCGAGGAUAGAUGAAAGGUGGCCUCUACAUGUAAGCUAUCACUGAAGGAGGGGAUUGCGUCUGAUUAGCUAGUUGGAGGGGUAACGGCCCACCAAGGCGAUGAUCAGUAGCCGGUCUGAGAGGAUGAGCGGCCACAUUGGGACUGAGACACGGCCCAGACUCCUACGGGAGGCAGCAGUGGGGAAUCUUCCGCAAUAGACGAAAGUCUGACGGAGCAACGCCGCGUGAGUGAUGACGGCCUUCGGGUUGUAAAGCUCUGUUAAUCGGGACGAAAGGCCUUCUUGCGAAUAGUGAGAAGGAUUGACGGUACCGGAAUAGAAAGCCACGGCUAACUACGUG
rnacentral:rRNA from 1 species